CCUACGGGAGGCAGCAGUAAGGAAUAUUGGUCAAUGGACGCAAGUCUGAACCAGCCAUGCCGCGUGAAGGAUUAAGGCCCUCUGGGUUGUAAACUUCUUUUAUAGGGGACGAAAAAAGGGCAUUCUUGCUCACUUGACGGUACCCUAGGAAUAAGCACCGGCUAACUCCGUGCCAGCAGCCGCGGUAAUACGGAGGGUGCAAGCGUUAUCCGGAUUUACUGGGUUUAAAGGGUGCGUAGGUGGGUUGGUAAGUCAGUGGUGAAAUCUUCGAGCUUAACUCGGAAACUGCCAUUGAUACUAUCAAUCUUGAAUCAUCUAGAGGUAAGCGGAAUAUGUCAUGUAGCGGUGAAAUGCUUAGAUAUGACAUAGAACACCAAUUGCGAAGGCAGCUUACUAUGGAUGCAAUUGACACUGAGGCACGAAAGCGUGGGGAUCAAACAGGAUUAGAUACCCUGGUAGUCCACGCCCUAAACGAUAGGAUACUCGACUAUUUGUGUAUAUACUAAUAAGUAGUCUGUAGACGAAGAGAUAAGUAUACCACCGAGGUAAGGUACGACCGCGAGUAGUUAACGUUACGAAGAAGUUAGACGGCGNGAGAGNGCGACGGACGACGACGAGGGAGGAGG
rnacentral:rRNA from 1 species